rnacentral:rRNA from 1 species
CCUACGGGGGGCAGCAGUGGGGGAUAUUGCACAAUGGGCGAAAGCCUGAUGCAGCGACGCCGCGUGAGGGAAGACGGUCUUCGGAUUGUAAACCUCUGUCUUUGGGGAAGAAGAUGACGGUACCCAAAGAGGAAGCUCCGGCUAACUACGUGCCAGCAGCCGCGGUAAUACGUAGGGAGCGAGCGUUGUCCGGAAUUACUGGGUGUAAAGGGAGCGUAGGCGGGGAUGCAAGUUGGAUGUUUAAACUAUCGGCUCAACCGGUAAUUGCAACCAAAACUGCAACUCUUGAGUGAAGUAGAGGCAGG